CAGUCGCCGCGGUAAAACGUAGGUGGCAAGCGUUGUCCGGAAUUAUUGGGCGUAAAGGGCUCGCAGGCGGUUUCUUAAGUCUGAUGUGAAAGCCCCCGGCUCAACCGGGGAGGGUCAUUGGAAACUGGGAAACUUGAGUGCAGAAGAGGAGAGUGGAAUUCCACGUGUAGCGAUGAAAUGCGUAGAGAUGUGGAGGAACACCAGUGGCGAAGGCGACUCUCUGGUCUGUAACUGACGCUGAGGAGCGAAAGCGUGGGGAGCGAACAGGAUUAGAUACCCCUGUAGUCCCUGUCUCUUAUAC
rnacentral:rRNA from 1 species